rnacentral:rRNA from 1 species
CAGUAGCCACGGUAAUACGGAGGGUGCAAGCGUUAAUCGGAAUUACUGGGCGUAAAGCGCACGCAGGCGGUCUGUCAAGUCAGAUGUGAAAUCCCCGGGCUUAACCUGGGAACUGCAUUUGAAACUGGCAGGCUAGAGUCUUGUAGAGGGGGGUAGAAUUCCAGGUGUAGCGGUGAAAUGCGUAGAGAUCUGGAGGAAUACCGGUGGCGAAGGCGGCCCCCUGGACAAAGACUGACGCUCAGGUGCGAAAGCGUGGGGAGCAAACAGGAUUAGAUACACCAGUAGUCCCUGUCUCUUAUAC